rnacentral:rRNA from 1 species
GAUGAACGCUGGCGGCGUGCCUAAUACAUGCAAGUCGAACGAACAGACGCGGAUCUUGCUCCUCUCACGUUAGCGGCGCACGUGUGAGUAACACGUGGAUACCCUCCCUAUCAGACUGGGAUCACUUCGGGACACCGGAGCUAAUACCGGAUAAUAUAUUGAUCCGCAUGGUUCAAUAGUGAAUGACGGCUUUGCUGUAUCUUCUCGAUGGAUACGGGCCGCAUUAGCUGGUUGGUACGGUAACGGCUUACCAAGGCAACGAUGCGUAGCCGACCUGAGAGGCGGAUAGGCGACACGGGAGGGUAGACAGGGACCAGAGGACUGCGGGAGGCAGCAGUAGGCAAUCGGCCGCAAUGGUGGAGAGCUUGACGGAGUAAGGCCGCGUGAGUGAUGGAGAUCUUCGGAGCGUAAAACUCUGUUAUUAGUGAAGAACAAAUGUGUAAGUAACUAUGCAGUGCGUGACGGUACCUAAUCAGAAAGCCACGGCUAACUACGUG